AGAAUCAACGCUGGCGGCGUGCCUAACACAUGCAAGUCGAACGAGAAAGGGUAGCAAUACCUGAGUAAAGUGGCGCACGGGUGAGUAACACGUGACUAACCUACCCUGGAGUGGGGGGAUAACUGAGGGGAAACCUUAGCUAAUACCGCAUAAUACCUACGGGUCAAAGGAGCAAUUCGCUUCAGGAGGGGGUCGCGGCCGAUUAGUUAGUUGGCGGGGUAAUGGCCCACCAAGACGAUGAUCGGUAUCCGGCCUGAGAGGGCGCACGGGACACACUGGAACUGAAACACGGUCCAGACUCCUACGGGAGGCAGCAGUGGGGAAUUUUGCGCAAUGGGGGAAACCCUGACGCAGCAACGCCGCGUGGAGGAUGAAGUCCUUCGGGACGUAAACUCCUUUCGAUCGGGACGAUUAUGACGGUACCGGAAGAAGAAGCCCGGCUAACUUCGCGCCAGCAGCCGC
rnacentral:rRNA from 1 species